rnacentral:lncRNA from 1 species
CAUACAAUGCAGAGAAGAGGAAUUUGCUGCACCUGUUUCAUUAUAUACUAAGGAUUAAGGUAGAUGCAUGGACAUAAUAUUUAACAACGACUCUUCUUUGGAUGUGGACUAGUUAAUGUAUUUAUUGAAUCAAAGGUUUGAACUUUGAAGAGGAGAAAAAUUGAUAUGCAUUUCUAAUUUUAAUUUAAAAAUUACUUCAUAAAUAUAAUUAUCAUUGGAAUGGCAGAGAUACUUAAACAUGUUUAAUAUUGAUUAAUUGAUUUUUCCAAUAAAUCUAUAGACGAAUAA